CUUGGCACCUCGACGGGGUCUAACGGGUGAUCAGCAAUGCCUGUGGCCUAGACCUGCGACCUUCAUUGCACUCUGAAGGGGUGCUAGUUUACCAUCCGCCCAAGUGGCAGAAUGGACAUCAUAAUUUGUGAUGUGAUAGGGGGAUUCUCAUCCGCGCGGCCCCUAC